rnacentral:rRNA from 1 species
AGCCUGAACCAGCCAAGUAGCGUGAAGGAUGAAGGCUCUAUGGGUCGUAAACUUCUUUUAUAUGGGAAUAAAGUUUUCCACGUGUGGAAUUUUGUAUGUACCAUAUGAAUAAGGAUCGGCUAACUCCGUGCCAGCAGCCGCGGUAAUACGGAGGAUCCGAGCGUUAUCCGGAUUUAUUGGGUUUAAAGGGAGCGUAGGUGGAUUGUUAAGUCAGUUGUGAAAGUUUGCGGCUCAACCGUAAAAUUGCAGUUGAAACUGGCAGUCUUGAGUACAGUAGAGGUGGGCGGAAUUCGUGGUGUAGCGGUGAAAUGCUUAGAUAUCACGAAGAACUCCGAUUGCGAAGGCAGCUCACUAGACUGUUACUGACACUGAUGCUCGAAAGUGUGGGUAUCAAACAGGAUUAGAUACCCUGGUAGUCCACACAGUAAACGAUGAAUACUCGCUGUUUGCGAUAUACAGUAAGCGGCCAAGCGAAAGCAUUAAGUAUUCCACCUGGGGAGUACGCCGGCAACGGUGAAACUCAAAGGAAUUGACGGGGGCCCGCACAAGCGGAGGAACAUGUGGUUUAAUUCGAUGAUACGCGAGGAACCUUACCCGGGCUUAAAUUGCAACAGAAUAUAUUGGAAACAGUAUAGCCGUAAGGCUGUUGUGAAGGUGCUGCAUGGUUGUCGUCAGCUCGUGCCGUGAGGUGUCGGCUUAAGUGCCAUAACGAGCGCAACCCUUAUCUUUAGUUACUAACAGGUUAUGCUGAGGACUCUAGAGAGACUGCCGUCGUAAGAUGUGAGGAAGGUGGGGAUGACGUCAAAUCAGCACGGCCCUUACGUCCGGGGCUACACACGUGUUACAAUGGGGGGUACAGAAGGCGGCUACCUGGUGACAGGAUGCUAAUCCCAAAAACCUCUCUCAGUUCGGAUCGAAGUCUGCAACCCGACUUCGUGAAGCUGGAUUCGCUAGUAAUCGCGCAUCAGCCAUGGCGCGGUGAAUACGUUCCCGGGCCUUGUACACACCGCCCGUCAAGCCAUGAAAGCCGGGGGUACCUGAAGUACGUAACCGCAAGGAGCGUCCUAGGGUAAAACUGGUAAUUGGGGCUAAGUCGUAACAAGGUAGCCGUACCGGAAGGUGCGGCUG